UGACCCAGCCYWUGCCGCGUGAVAGGAAGACGGUCUCUGGAUUGUAAACUCCUUUUGAAUGGGAAGAAUGUGCGGUUUGCGAACUGUAAUGACGGUACCAUUAGAAUAAGCCACGGCUAAYUACGUGCCAGCAGCCGCGGUAAUACGKAGGUGGCGAGCGUUAUCCGGAUUUAUUGGGUUUAAAGGGUGCGUAGGCGGCUUAAUAAGUCGGUGGUAAAAGGUAGCAGCUUAACUGUUUUACAACCCAUCGKAUACUGCUAAGCUUGAGUUAUUKGGRGGCAGGCUAGAAUUUGCCGGUGUCGCGGUAAAAUGCAUAGAUACCGGAAGGAAUACCAAUUGCGAAGGCAGGUUGCUACGAUUAUACUGACGCUGAUGCACAAAAGCGUGGGGGAUCAAACARGAUUAGAUACC
rnacentral:rRNA from 1 species